rnacentral:rRNA from 1 species
UACGUAGGGCGCGAGCGUUGUCCGGAUUUAUUGGGCGUAAAGAGCUCGUAGGCGGCUUGUCGCGUCGACUGUGAAAUCCCGCGGCUCAACUGCGGGUCUGCAGUCGAUACGGGCAGGCUAGAGUGCGGUAGGGGAGAAUGGAAUUCCUGGUGUAGCGGUGGAAUGCGCAGAUAUCAGGAGGAACACCGAUGGCGAAGGCGGCAUCCUGGACCGGCAUUGACGCUGAGGCGCGAAAGCUAGGGGGAGCAAACGGG